GUUUGUAAAUUAUAAUUACAAGUCAUUACAAAUAAGGCUAAAUCAUGUAGGGAAGCACUGUAGCUUUCAUUACAAAACACUGUGAAUUGCUACAGUGUUUCCAACAUGAUUUUUUUUCCUUUUUUUGGUGUUUUUUUUCUUCUAAAAUUGUCUCUGUCGAUUUUUUUUUAAUAUUGAACUGAUUAAGAAUUUAGCUUUGUAAUUUUUUUCUUUAAAACAUUGUGAGUUGUUGCAGUGUUUUCCCAUGUGAUUUUUUUAUGAUUUUUUCCAAAAUUAUCUUUGUCAAUUUUUUUUGAAUAUUGAGU
rnacentral:lncRNA from 1 species